rnacentral:rRNA from 1 species
UACGAAGGGGGCUAGCGUUGUUCGGAAUUACUGGGCGUAAAGCGCACGUAGGCGGGUCGUUAAGUCAGGGGUGAAAUCCCGGAGCUCAACUCCGGAACUGCCUUUGAUACUGGCGAUCUUGAGAUCGGAAGAGGUGAGUGGAAUUCCCAGUGUAGAGGUGAAAUUCGUAGAUAUUGGGAAGAACACCAGUGGCGAAGGCGGCUCACUGGUCCGAUACUGACGCUGAGGUGCGAAAAGCGUGGGGGAGCAAACAGG